rnacentral:tRNA from 1 species
GGCCUCAUCGUCUAACGGUUAGGACAUUGCCUUCUCAAGGCAAGAAUCAGAGUUCGAUUCUCUGUGAGGUCA